UUCAGCAGAUGAGGGACGAGAGAAAUGGUGCGGAAAGCAAAUUCCAGAUUGAAAGUCGAAUGGCAGGAAGUCAGAUGGAGACAACAGUCCAAGAGGAGAUGAAUGCUGAGAUGCACAGGCUCAUUUUGGAGAUUGAACACAUCCGGGAAAUGCUGCGAGGUCUUAAGGCUGAGGUAGAAUACAACAAGGAAACGAUGAAGAGAGACAGGGAUGAGAUGAGGCUAUUGAAGAAUGAAGUUCAACGAAGGAGAAGAGAGAUUGAAUAUAGAGAAGAAAGGAUUAUGAGAGAACGAGAUGAACUAGAACUCGUGAGAAAUAUGGUGCAGCGACAAAGACAAGAACUGGAGGAGAGGCUGGAGGAGACCAUUAAAGAGAAUGAUAUGAUGGAGCAGAUGAGAGAAGAUGUGAAAAAUGCUUUGGAGGACAUAGCACAGGCCAAAGAAGAGAUAAAGAGACAGAAAGAACUCACUGCUCUAGAAAAGACAGGCAAAGAAAAGGUUCAACCAGCCAUCAUUCCAACCGAGAGCCAGGAGUAUGCAAAAACAGAAGAAGCAGCUGCCAUUAAAGUGGAAGACUUUGUGAGUGAUAUACAGAAAGAAAGACAAGAACUGGAACAAUAUAAAGAAAUAAUUUUAAAAGAGAAACAUGAACUAGAGAAAACAAAGGAGGAUGUACGAGCGAUAAAGAAUGAAGCUGAAGAGAGGAUGACAAAAUUACAAGAGAUGGAAAUUGAGAUGGAAAAGAAACGAGUGGGUCUACAAAACUGGGAAAGACUGCUGCAAUCAGAGAGAGAAGAAAACCGGAGAGGUUUAGAUAUAAUAUGGAAAGAGAAGAAGCAGCUAGAUCAAAGAAAACAAGAACUAGAGAGUAUGGACGUAAAUCUACAGAGAGAGAAAUGUGAAUUAGAAAAGGCAAGAUUGAUGGAGAUUAAACAAGUUGAUGUACAAGUCCAAACUGAUGUGAUGGAGGAUGUAGGAAAAUAUCAGAUGAGCUUGACUAUGGAGGAGCUGGAUAAAGAGCGACAAGCUCUGGAGAAUUUUAAAGAAGACUUACUUGCACAAAAAAGUACAAUUGAGAGACAACUGGCAGAAAUAAAACUGAGCAAGGAUGAAUUAUCACUCAAAGAAGCCGCACUGCAAACUGCUACAAAAAACACAGCAGACAUAGAGUUACAAUUAGAGCUGCGAAAACAGGAGCUAGAACGAACAAAAGAUGAGGUGGAAAGGACAAAGCUAGAAAUACAGAAAGGAUGGGAUGACCUGCAGGCUGAGAUUACAGAAAGCAGAGAAAAAGAAUACAUGAUAAGAACAGAAUUAGAAAAUGCCAGAGAUGUUCUAAAUCACAUUCGACAGGAUAUAGAAAAACAAAAGCAAACCAUGGAGGCCGACCUAAAAGACACUUUUGCUAAAGAACUAGAAGACAUAGAAGCUCAGAGAAAAAGGAUAGAGGAUGAAAAGGGAAUGUUACAGAACAUGAAAUAUGAGCUGCAAAAAGAGUCUAGUGAUAUCGAAAGGUUAAAACAGGAUGUGCAGAAAGAAAGACAGAACAUGAAGAAAUGGGCAGAGCAGCUUAAACAAGAGAGGGAGGAACUAGAAAAGAAAAGGUGUGAUAUGCAACAGAUACAAGCAGAAAUAGCGAGAGAAAAGAACAAUCUAGAGAACCUGAGAGAGGAGAAUGAGCGGACACUGAAGGAGAUCAAAAAGGAGAGAGACACACUUGAGAAAAUAAAUGUACUCAUUUUACAGCAAAAAGAUGAUUUUGAGAAUGAGAAGGAGGAAAUAAAGCAGAGAGAAAAUGAACUGCAGCAAAUGCAGGCUGAUCUUAACAGACAACAAAAAGAAGUGCAGGAUAUUCAGAAUAUAGUUUUAAUGCAAAAAAGUCAACUUCAGAAAAGCCAUGAUGAAAUAGCCGAAAAGCUAAAACAGGCGGAAGCCAUCAGGCAGUUCACACAAAAUGAAAAAGGCAAUCUUGACAGAGAAAGGGCAGCUAUAAUGGAACAGAAGCAGCAGAUGGAGAGUAACUUGACAGAUACAUUAAACAGAGAACUAGAAACUGUGGAGCUUGUGAAAAUAGAGGUACUAAAUGAGAAGCGACUUAUUGAGGACUGCAGAAUAGUUUUACUGAGAGAUAUAGAAGAUCUGGAGCAAGAAGAAAAUCAAGUUUGGGUAGUCGAGGCAGCAACAAGUAGCUGAAGAUACUGAGAAGCUAAGACAAGAUACACUAGCUGAAAGACAGAAGCUUAAAAACACUGCUGUGCAACUUCAGAAAGAGAGAGAUGCCAUUGUGAGCCUUUCAGAAGAGACAAAAAGACAGAUAGAGGAACUGGAUAAAAUGAAAGCUGAUGUUGAAAAGCAGGAAAAUGCAUUUGAGAUAUUGAAGGGCAUGAAAGCUGAUCUGCAAAAAGAAGCCGGUGUCAUUGAAAAUGUAAGACAAGCUGUUCAGAAUGACAUACAAAACGUAAAAGAUAUAGAAGCCAAAAUUCAGAAAGAAAGACAAUACACUGAUAGUCUAGGUGAAGAGAUUGAAAAGAGGUCCAAAGCUCUGGAUGAGAUGCACAUGGAGGUUGAAAAAGAAAAGCGAUAUGUUGAGUCUGAGAGAGAUGUGCUAGAACAGGAAAAGUCUAAGCUCAGAGAUCUCAAAGAUGAAUUUGCUCAGCAAAAAGAACAGAACAUUAUUAUACUGGCAGAUAUAGAGAAAGAAAGAGACAAUCUUACCCAGAUGAGUGAAACCAUCUCAAAUCAAAGGUGCAUCGUUGAAAGUGAUAAAGAAAAUUUAAGACAGAGAGAAAAUGAACUGAAACAAAAAGAAGCAGAGGUUGAAAACAAACAAAAACAAAUAGAUGAGUUAAAGAGCAGUUUAAGAAUGGAAAAGAUGCAAGUUGAGCAGAUGCAAGCUGACCAAGAUCAACAAUGGACAGUUGCACAUGAAAAAAUAGAAUAUGUUAAGACUGCAAGAGAUAGAGACGCGACAGACCUGGAGAAAGAGAGACAGGAAAUGGAGAAUUUGAGAGAAGAACUGAGGGUGGCAUAUGAAAAUGUGGAGCUCCAAAAGAGAUAUUUAAUUGAGCAAAAAGAAGUAUUUGAAAGCCGGAUGAAAUCACUAGAAAUGGAUGAGGAAGACAUAGAGAAAAAUAAAGCCAAACUGCACAAAGAAUUUGAAAACUUGCAGUUUCAGAGGCAAUCGUUUGAGAAAGAGAUACAGCAGGUAAGAGCUGACCUUCAGAAAGAGGCUGACAAUACUGAGAGACUAAAGAAAGAGGUGGUAGCUGAAAAGCAGAGUAUAAAAGACAUGGCAGCUCAAAUUCAACAUGAGGGAAAUUACAGAAAAGAAGCUCUAGAGAGGAUGCGCCUUGAGCUAGAAAAACAAAAGCAAGACAUUGAGACUGAAAAAGAUACAUUAGAAACCCAGAAGUUUGAAGUGGAGAAAAGCAAAAGAGACAUAGCGAGAGCAAAAGACGAUCUUGCUGAAAAGAGAAAAAUGAAUGAUAUUGAUCGGUUAGAGAUGGAGAAGCAGAGAAAUUCCCUUGAGCAAAUGAAGAUGAACAUUUCACAAGAGGAACAUGGUAUUAAAAUAGUGAAGGAAAGUUUGAGACACCAAGAAAAUGACCUGAAUAUACAAACAUCACAACUUCAUGCACAACAGAAAGAAAUAGAAGAGAUUCAGGAUGUUAUCAUGAAAGAAAAGAGUCAGCUUAAUGAAAGACAGGCUGAAAUGGAAAAGCAAAAGAGAGAAUUAGAGAGUGUGAUGGACAGACUUGAAAAAGAGAGGACUAAUGUAAUGGAAGAAAGACAAAGAGUGAAUGGCAUUGCAGUAGAACUGAAGAGGGAAAGUGAAACAGUGGAGCUGAUGAAGCAAGAAGUUCUCCACGAAAAAGAAUCUAUUGAAAACAGCAGGCAAAUACUGAACAAAGAUCUGGAGGAUAUAAAAGAAAAUAGAACCAUCUUAGCUGAGGAGUUUGAGACCUUAAACUACCAGAAACAAUUGACUGGCAAAGAAAAGCAGGAAUUUGAUAAGAUGAAAAAUGAGUUCCAACAAGAAAAGGAAAUUAUUGCUAAACUAAGGCAAGACAUAGAAAAUGGCAGGCAGAAGGCUGAGGAAAUGGCGAUCAUCCUUCAAAAAAGAGAAGGAAGAUAUAGAGAUUUCUUUUGCCAGAAUAAGAUCAGAGGAAGGAGAUCUAAGAAAACAAAAACAAACAAUUGAAUCUGAUAGAGACACUCUUAAAAAGGCAAGUCUGACCUGGAGAAAACUAAAGCAGAGAUAGCCAGAGUCAAAGAAGAUCUUGAGAACCAAAUUGAAUCACAUAAAAGACAAAAUGAGCUAACACUGGCAGAGAUACAGAAGGAGAAACACAUUCUUGAGCAGUUAAGGAUGAACAUAUCACAACAGAGAGAUGAUCUAGAAAACGACAUUGAACAAACAAGAUACCAACAAGCGGAGCUGCAAAGUCUAAAAAUGGAAAUUCAGAAAGAGCAAACAGAGAUAGAUGAGCAGAAGGUGAUGACAGAUAUAGCAAGAGCGAAGGAGGAUCUUGAAACCCAGCUCGUUGAAGAAAGAGAAAAGAACAAGAUCACACUAGCAGAAAUACAGAAAGAAAAAGACAUGCUUCUUUUACUGAGAGAUAGUAUUUCAGAGCAACAGGACAACAUUGCAAAUGAGAAACAACAAAUGAGUAUGAGACAGACUGAACUUGAACAACUCCAAGCUCUAAUUUAUAGGCAGCAAGAUGAAAUGGAAGCCUCACGAAAAGCUCUCACAAUGGAAAAAGACAGACUUGAAAAGAAGAAAACUGAAAUAGAUCAAAAACAGAGAAAGGUAAAUGAAGUCAUGGCAUUUACAACAGGAGAAAGGGCUUAUAUUGAAAAAGAGAAGUCUGAAAUGCUAACACAGAAACACCAAAUGGAGACUGAACUGGAGCUCUUGAAGGCAGAACUGAAUAAUGACAUAAAUGAAAAAAGAGCAGCCCUAGACAGAGAGAUAAAGGAGCUUCAAUAUCAUAAAAAAGCUAUUCGAAAUGAGAAGGAUGACGUAGAACAGAUGAAGAUUGAGCUGCAAAGACAAACUGAAGAUAUGAGAAGGCUAAAAGAAGAAACACAAAAUGAGAGACAGAGUUUGGAAAAGAUGGCUGAAAAACUUCAGAAGGAGAAAGAAGAUAUUGUUCAUCUUGCUGAAGAUACAAAGAGAAAGAAUGAGAUUCUUGAUGAAAUGAAAGUAUUACAUGAGUCCACAUUAGAAAAUCUGCAAAAAGAGAUCAAGGGAAAAACAGGACCUGAUGUCUGAGCUGAGAAAGAAGUCUGAAGAUGUUGAGCUUCAGAUGAAGCAGAUAUUGACUGAAAGGGAAAUGUUGGAAAAUGAUAGACAACUGUUAAAGAGAGACAAGGAAGAUCUGCAACAAAAAAUAAUUAAUGUAGACAGAGACUCAGAGAGUCUGAAACAUGAGAGAGAAGCUUUGGAGAAUGAGAAGGAAGUAAUAAAAAAGAUCAAAACUGACCUGCAAAGAGAGACACAAGAGUUCGAGAAGAUCAAACUACAAACACAAGAUGAAAGACAAAAACUGGAGGAAAUGACAGCUCAACUCCAGAAAGAGAGAGAAGAAAUCAAUGAUCUUACUGAGAAGAACAAAGUGAAAGAUAUGGUCUUGGAUGAAAUGAACAAAGAAAUUCAAGUUAAAAUGAAAGAAAUUCAAUUUGAUAGAGACAUGAUUGAGAAUGAAAUGCACGAUCUUGAGAAAAUCAAAAGGAAACUUGCUAAAGCAAAGGAGGAUCUUGAAAAAGAAAGAGAAAAGCAAGGAAUCAUACUAGCAGAGAUUCAAGAAGAGAAAGACAACCUAGAGGAGAAGAAGGAGACCAUCACAGAACAACACGUUAUUAGAAAAUCAAGGAUAGAGACAUGAUUGAGAAUGAAAUGCACGAUCUUGAGAAAAUCAAAAGGAAACUUAGCUAAAGCAAAGGAGGAUCUUGAAAAAGAAAGAGAAAAGCAAGGAAUCAUACUAGCAGAGAUUCAGAAAGAGAAAGACAACCUAGAGGAGAAGAAGGAGACCAUCACAAGACAAACACGUUAUUUGAAAAAUCAAGAGGAACAAAUGAGACAAAAACAACAUGAACUCGAACAAUUGAAAACUGAAAUUCAGAAUCAGAAACAGGAACUAGACAAUGACAGAAAUAUUAUAAUAAAAGACAGAAGUCAGCUUGAUCUGAGACAGUCUGAGCUAGACAAACAACAGACAGAAGUGAGUCACAUUAUGGA
rnacentral:lncRNA from 1 species